GAUGAACGCUGGCGGCGUGCCUAAUACAUGCUAGUCGAACGAACACACGAUGAGCUUUCUCCUCUGACGUUAGCGACUGACGGGCGAGUAACACGUGCAUAACCUACCUAUUUUUCUUGGGUAAAUUCGUGAAACCGCUUCCAAUACCGUAUAAUACAUCCAACCGCAUCCUGCAGUAGAUCAAGACGCCUUUCCCGUCUCUCUGAGAUGCAUUCGCGCCGAAUUAUCUAGUUGGUAAGGUAACGGCCUACCAAGGCAACGAUGCGUAGCCGACCUGAGAGGGUGAUCAGCCACACUGGAACUGAGACACGGUCCAGACUCCUACGGGAGGCAGCAGUAGGGAAUAUUGCGCAAUGGGCGCAAGCUUGACGGAGCAAUGCCGCGUGAGUGAUGAAGGUCUUCGGGUCGUAAAGCUCUGUUGUUAGGGAAGAAAAGCUGUGUAAGUAAAUAUGGACGUCUUGACGGUACCUAAAGAGAAAGCAACGGCUAACUACGUG
rnacentral:rRNA from 1 species